rnacentral:rRNA from 1 species
GAUCCUGGCUCAGGAUGAACGCUGGCGGCAUGCCUAAUACAUGCAAGUCGGAACGAAGUUUCGAGGAAGCUUGCUUCCAAAGAGACUUAGUGGCGAACGGGUGAGUAACACGUAGGUAACCUGCCCAUGUGUCCGGGAGUAACUGCUGGAAACGGUAGCUAAAACCGGAUAGGUAUACAGAGCGCAUGCUCAGUAUAUUAAAGCGCCCAUCAAGGCGUGAACAUGGAUGGACCUGCGGCG